UACAGAGGGUGCAAGCGUUAAUCGGAAUUACUGGGCGUAAAGCGCGCGUAGGUGGUUAUACAAGUUGGGUGUGAAAUCCCUGGGCUCAACCUAGGAAUUGCAUUCAAAACUAUAUGACUUGAGUGAAGUAGAGGUAAGUGGAAUUUCCGGAGUAGCGGUGAAAUGCGUAGAUACCGGAAGGAACACCAGUGGCGAAGGCGACUUACUGGGCUUUAACUGACACUGAGGUGCGAAAGCGUGGGGAGCAAAC
rnacentral:rRNA from 1 species